rnacentral:rRNA from 1 species
AUACGGAGGGUGCAAGCGUUGUUCGGAAUCACUGGGCGUAAAGCGCGCGCAGGCGGCCUGAUAAGUUGGAUGUGAAAGCCUACGGCUCAACCGUAGAACUGCAUCCAAAACUGUCAGUCUAGAGUGUGGGAGAGGAAGAUGGAAUUAGUUGUGUAGGGGUAAAAUCCGUAGAGAUAACUAGGAAUACCAAAAGCGAAGGCAAUCUUCUGGAACACUACUGACGCUGAGGCGCGAAGGCGUGGGGAGCAAACAGGAUUAGAAACCCCAGUAGUCC